GCCUGCAUGGCUCUGUUGGUUAGAGCGUGGUGCUGAUAACACCAGGGUUGUAGGUUCAAUCCCCGUAUGGGACA